UAAAAGUCUGCGCGCAGGACCUCAGAGGAGACGUGAGCUCUCAAAAGCCAAACAAACACAAAGCGACCCUCUCGACCUUUGAAUCAUCUUACCUUUACCUCUUCUGCAAGAGCCACAGCAAAGGAGGCAGGCGAGCGAGACGGCGCACAAAAUCCAGCAAUUAGACGGAGCCAUGCUUCUGCACGGAGCGCUGAUCCUCCAGAGUGAAAGGAACCACAGAGUUCUGAUUCAUUCUGUGAAAUCAUCGAGUCAAAGUUGAAGAAAGAUAUGUUUAUUUGCACUAAAGCCAGGACUGAGUCUGAACGAGGAGCAGAGUGAUGACGUCGGUCUCCAGGAGGAACCAGGAGAUCAUGAAAUGUUGAUUUGAAGAGUCCCUCCCUGGUCUGUGACCUGGUCUCUGAGCUGACCGAGGACAGACUCAUCUUCUGGAGGACCUCCAGACUUUGAUGAUGACAUCACAAGUUAUCAUCCUGCGUUGAGUCGUGCUCCGACGCCCCGGGGACCGUUGGAGGCCGGCCAGAGCAGCUGACGCAGCCCGCGAGCUCCCGUUGUCUGGGUUCUGAGUCGUACGACAGGAUCGGACCUGAACCUCUGCUGCUGCAGCCGUGGAUUCACAUGUAACAGAUUUUAUUGUAACAUUUUCAUCCAAUUAAACAUAAAGAAAUUAAAAAGUAGCACCAAAGUGUUAAAAA